CCUACGGGAGGCAGCAGUAGGAAAUCUUCCACAAUGGGCGAAAGCCUGAUGGAGCAACGCCGCGUGGGUGAAGAAGGUCUUCGGAUCGUAAAACCCUGUUGUUAGAGAAGAAAGUGCGUGAGAGUAACUGUUCACGUUUCGACGGUAUCUAACCAGAAAGCCACGGCUAACUACGCGCCAGCAGCCGCGGUAAUACGUAGGUGGCAAGCGUUAUCCGGAUUUGUUGGGCGUAAAGGGAACGCAGGCGGUCUUUUAAGUCUGAUGUGAAAGCCUUCGGCUUAACCGGAGUAGUGCAUUGGAAACUGGGAGACUUGAGUGCAGAAGAGGAGAGUGGAACUCCAUGUGUAGCGGUGAAAUGCGUAGAUAUAUGGAAGAACACCAGUGGCGAAAGCGGCUCUCUGGUCUGUAACUGACGCUGAGGUUCGAAAGCGUGGGUAGCAAACAGGAUUAGAUACCCCAGUAGUC
rnacentral:rRNA from 1 species